rnacentral:lncRNA from 1 species
UUUAGAGGUCCUAUAGAAUGUCACCACAUAGAUCCUAGAUAGAUAAUAUAUUUAGAGCUAAGAGUGAAGCCUUCUUCAUUCUUGUUAAUUCCUUUUUUGCUUCUAGUCUAAUUUUGAUAGUCUCUAAUUUCAUUGUCUUUUGGCAAAAGCCAUUUUAGUUUUUUUUUUUAAUAUACAUACUUUUCUAUUUUUAUUUUUUUAUAUUUCUUUGAAAGAAUCUUACUUGUUUAUUUGCUUUCAUCCAAUUCUUAUCUUUAAAAUUAAGUAACAAGCUCCAUUGAUAGCUAAAAUAUAUAGUUACAACUUGACCUUCUUUUGUUUGGACAAGAAUUUUUUUAUUCAAAGUCAAUGAAUUUUUCUAACAUAAAAUUAUUUCCUCAUUGAUAUAAGAUUUUUAAAUCAAUUAUAUCCUAAAUAUACCAAAGAAUAUACAUAUUUGUAUAAAAAUAGCCUUAUUAAGAUUUAUAC